rnacentral:rRNA from 1 species
GACAUCCAGCGAACUUAGCAGAGAUGCUUUGGUGCCUUCGGGAACGCUGAGACAGGUGCUGCAUGGCUGUCGUCAGCUCGUGUUGUGAAAUGUUGGGUUAAGUCCCGCAACGAGCGCAACCCUUAUCCUUUGUUGCCAGCGAUUCGGUCGGGAACUCAAAGGAGACUGCCGGUGAUAAACCGGAGGAAGGUGGGGAUGACGUCAAGUCAUCAUGGCCCUUACGAGUAGGGCUACACACGUGCUACAAUGGCGCAUACAAAGAGAAGCGACCUCGCGAGAGCAAGCGGACCUCAGAAAGUGCGUCGUAGUCCGGAUCGGAGUCUGCAACUCGACUCCGUGAAGUCGGAAUCGCUAGUAAUCGUGGAUCAGAAUGCCACGGUGAAUACGUUCCCGGGCCUUGUACACACCGCCCGUCACACCAUGGGAGUGGGUUGCAAAAGAAGUAGGUAGCUUAACCUUCGGGAGGGCGCUUACCACUUUGUGAUUCAUGACUGGGGUGAAGUCGUAACAAGGUAACCGUAGGGGAACCUGCGGUUGGAUCACCUCCUUA